rnacentral:rRNA from 1 species
GCAGUCGAGCGGAGAUGAGGUGCUUGCACCUUAUCUUAGCGGCGGACGGGUGAGUAAUGCUUAGGAAUCUGCCUAUUAGUGGGGGACAACAUUCCGAAAGGAAUGCUAAUACCGCAUACGCCCUACGGGGGAAAGCAGGGGAUCUUCGGACCUUGCGCUAAUAGAUGAGCCUAAGUCGGAUUAGCUAGUUGGUGGGGUAAAGGCCUACCAAGGCGACGAUCUGUAGCGGGUCUGAGAGGAUGAUCCGCCACACUGGGACUGAGACACGGCCCAGACUCCUACGGGAGGCAGCAGUGGGGAAUAUUGGACAAUGGGCGGAAGCCUGAUCCAGCCAUGCCGCGUGUGUGAAGAAGGCCUUUUGGUUGUAAAGCACUUUAAGCGAGGAGGAGGCUACUUAGAUUAAUACUCUAGGAUAGUGGACGUUACUCGCAGAAUAAGCACCGGCUAACUCUGUGCCAGCAGCCGCGGUAAUACAGAGGGUGCGAGCGUUAAUCGGAUUUACUGGGCGUAAAGCGUGCGUAGGCGGCUGAUUAAGUCGGAUGUGAAAUCCCUGAGCUUAACUUAGGAAUUGCAUUCGAUACUGGUCAGCUAGAGUAUGGGAGAGGAUGGUAGAAUUCCAGGUGUAGCGGUGAAAUGCGUAGAGAUCUGGAGGAAUACCGAUGGCGAAGCAGCCAUCUGGCCUAAUACUGACGCUGAGGUACGAAAGCAUGGGGAGCAAACAGGAUUAGAUACCCUGGUAGUCCAUGCCGUAAACGAUGUCUACUAGCCGUUGGGGCCUUUGAGCUUUAGUGCGCAGCUAA